UCUAGACCAUGACCAUCUAAACUCCUCAGACCAGAGACACAAAAUCUAAACCCAUAAUGUCUGGAUAGUUUUCCCACAAAAUUCUUAAAAAUGGUCCUUAACUGCAUUUCUUCAGAUGCGUUGGGGAUAGUAAACAAUUAUCUUCAGGAUGGGCAGUUUCCUGAGGCUUCUGAGGAAGCACGGCCUGCCACAGGAGCUGUUGAGGCAGUUCUACACAGCGGUCAUCGAACCAGUCCUGUGUUCUUCCAUCACAGUCUGGUUUGGUGCUGCUACAAAAAAGGACAAACUCCGACUGCAGCGGACAAUCAAAACUGCUGAAAAGAUUGUCGGUACCCCCCUACCCAACCUGGAGGACUUGCACGCUGCCAGAACUAAGUCAAGAGCGUGCAAAAUCCUCUUGGAACCUCCACAUCCUGGUCACCAGCUCUUCCAGCUCCUUCCCUCAGUGUUCCUUCCGUGUCUCCCGCUUUGCUGUCCGCUCCAGCCAUGCCAUUAAGCUCUUCCACCUGCCCAUGCUCCCGCUUCCUGCGCAUUCCCUGUUCCGACGGAUCACCAUCACUCUUCGAAUAUCCUACCCCUGAGCAUCUACUUCUUCCGCCUCCGUUUGCUUUUGGGUCCAGUCCAAUAUCAUACGAUUACCAACCGUGACAAGCACCACCUUGUCCGUGCACCUGUUUUCAAUCAGGCGUCAUCAUCUCUGCCUGCAUAAAAGCCUGCCAGACCCUGGAAAUCCUCGCCAGAGUAUUAACGUUCCAGCGUGUGCUCCUUCCGUGUUCCCCGCCUUGCUGACUCCUUCCACCACGCCGCCAAGUCAUCCACCUGCUCACGCCACCGCCUGCUGCACGUUCCCCAUCUCGACGACCCACCAUUACUCCUCAGAGCUCCGAUUCUCACUACCUUUUCAAUAAAUUAUUCACCACAAACUUCUCAGCCUCCACUUGCUACUGGGUCCAGUGAAAACGGAUACCUUCAUAUCAUGACAGAAUACUCUAGCCAGCAUGGUCCCAGCAACCCCGGAGGCACUAAGACAAGCACUCACCCUCUAAGGCGCCGAUAUAGGAAGACAGGACAAAGCUCUCCAGGAACUCGUGGAAUCUUGAACCACUCUCACACAAGUUUCCCUCCUUUCUGCCAAAUUGCAGUCCGACCACCCUCCCGUAAGUACUCCCUCCGCUAUAAAGAGCCUCAUGUUCCUCCGACAAAGCCCUACUCCGGGGACCAAGGUGCAUGCAGUCAAUUCCUCCUCAAUUGCUCCCUGGUAUUAAAUCUACAACCGUUAAGCUACCCCACCAAACAAUCCAAAGUAGUAUACGUAACUAAUCUCCGGCGCGGAAAAGCAGCAAAAUGGGCUACCGAGUUAUGGGACAACUCCUUCCCGUUACUCUCGUCAUUCACCUCUCUUUCUGCGGAACUAAAGAAAGUUUUUGAUCACCCCAUUCAGGGCAGGAAAGCGUCCCGUCACGACAUCGACCAAUAAGAGCACGAGUGGAUUUAUCCCGUGAGCUGAUUGGCUGCGUAACAUCGCAGCCUCACACAGCAUCUUCCCUUGUUGUGUCUCGCCAGUCUCGUCCACGCUGUUGUGGUCGCAAUAACUUUUUUGGUUUAAGCAGUAAAUUUUUGAUUAGUUAAGCAAGCCCUUACAAUGCCGCUGAAGCGCUGUGCCCCUGCGAAAGCUUCCUCCGGGGUGCCCAAGAGGAACAAGAAGAUGAUGACCAUCAGCGAAAAAGUGAAACUUUUAGAUUUGAUCAAAGAGGGCAGAAGUUAUGCAUCUGUGGCACGCCAUUAUGGCGUGAAUGAAUCUACAGUGCGGUACAUCAAACUGCUUCAAUAAGGAAGCGAAACAUGUGGUAACUCCGCAUAAUAAGAGACGGGGUUAUGUCCUUGUACAGGGGAAUUUUGAAGCAAAAGAAAAAACAAAGACAGCAACUACCCAUCACCAUGUUUUUCUCUAAGGUAAAACCCCAGCUACAGCAGAAGUCUCCGAGUGAACCUAAAGCCUUUACGAGUCAAGUGAGAGCCUCUCCUCUGCCACCAACGCAAGCCUCUUCGCCUCUCUCAGA